AGAGUUUGAUCCUGGCUCAGAAUCAACGCUGGCGGCGCGCUUAACACAUGCAAGUCGCACGAGAAAGUGGAGCAAUCCAUGAGUACAGUGGCGUACGGGUGAGUAACACGUGGAUCAUCUACCUCUUGGUGGGGAAUAACCCUGGGAAACCGGGGCUAAUACCGCAUAAGCCUGCAAAGGGAAAGCAGCAAUGCGCCGAGAGAGGAGUCCGCGGCCGAUUAGCUUGUUGGUAGGGUAACGGUCUACCAAGGCAAUGAUCGGUAGCCGGCCUGAGAGGGCACACGGCCACACUGGCACUGAAACACGGGCCAGACUCCUACGGGAGGCAGCAGUGGGGAAUCUUGCACAAUGGGGGAAACCCUGAUGCAGCGACGCCGCGUGAGCGAUGAAGCCCUUCGGGGUGUAAAGCUCUUUCGGCAGGAACGAUAAUGACGGUACCUGCAGAAGAAGCUGCGGCUAACUACGUGCCAGCAGCCGCGGUAAUACGUAGGCAGCAAGCGUUGUUCGGAAUUACUGGGCGUAAAGAGUGUGUAGGCGGUUCUCUAAGUUCCGUGUGAAAUCUCCCGGCUUAACUGGGAGGGUGCGCGGAAAACUGGAGGGCUGGAGUAUGGGAGAGGAAAGCGGAAUUCCUGGUGUAGCGGUGAAAUGCGUAGAUAUCAGGAGGAACACCUGCGGUGUAGACAGCUUUCUGGACCAUCACUGACGCUGAGACACGAAAGCGUGGGUAGCAAACAGGAUUAGAUACCCUAGUAGUCC
rnacentral:rRNA from 1 species